rnacentral:lncRNA from 1 species
CUCUUUAAUUGACAAUUUUCAUAGAAAACAAAGUCAAACAAAUAUCAAAAAAUAUACAAUUUCAACAUUUUCCAUGUGAAAGUUAUAUAAAUCAAACACAUUUAAUUGACAAUUCCCAACAAAACAAAUUUUAGACAAUUCAAUUCCCUAAAAUUCGUUUUCUUUCCACCCAUUCUUGCAAUCAAAUAGACACUAAAAAGAAAUAUUGGUCAACUCUUGAUCGCCAUCAUGAAAUUAAUCCGUGGCCUUUUGUGGGAUCCAUCACGCACGAUGGUCACUUGCCAUCCAUUUUCAUAAAAUCAGUGGUCAGUGUACAAUAGGACAAACAUGGAAUGAUACAACGAAGAUGAACGGCUAAUAUAUGUGAACUCUUUAGUUAUCAAGUUCUAGUAAUGGAGUGGGUAGUAUGAGAAGGGUAAAUGUGUAAGCAAGGAAGAAAAACACAACCAUACAACUAGAGGAAACUGAGGCUAAUUAUUUCCUCGGCUAAGAGGUCAAGAUCCACUCUUUACCUCCCAUCACCUAGAAAUAUAGUUGAAUACAACAAAAGAUUGGAAAACAAUGUGUAAUUUCUAAAUUUUUCCUGUUUCCUUUGUGAAAAACGUGACCGAUCCCUAGUAUUAUCCUCCCUUCACUAAAUUCAGCAUUGUAAAUAAAGACUCUAGAUUAACACCACUGACAACAGAAUGGCUGUAGAAAAUUUCUCUCCCUCCACUCUGUAUCUUCCUAACGAACACAAAUAAAUAUCCCCAAUCAUAACUAGAUAUGUGAUUCAUCCCAGUCAAGGACCAUCCCAAGAAAUUACCUCAAUUUCCCAUCAGCGAAUGGGAGACAAAAUCAUCCUUAAAUAGCUUCCAGUGAUUUUCUGCAAAGAUAGCAUUGCCAACAUCAGAUUGACAUCAAGUUUCAAUGCGUCAAAUUAGAACCUUUCAGCUCCAGAUUUUUCCCCCCCAAAAAAAUAAAAAAGAAAAUAAAAAAAAAUAAAAAUUGAAAAACAUAUACGGUGAUAAUAACUUUGAAAACUAUGUAAUAGAACCAUCAAUUAUGAAAAUGAUGACAAAUUCUGAAAGAUGAACUACUAACAACUAAUAACAGGGACAUUUAACCCUUCAACUCACUGUGGACACACAUGAUAUUCUGAUAGAAGUAUGAGAUGAAGAGAUAGUGUAUCCAAUGGCUCGAAAUAUAAGCAGGAAACUGACAUGAGUAAAAACAGAACAUGCUAAAGAAUUCUAUUUUCUUUACCAGAGCAUAUUACUGCUACUACUAGUACUCUAUCGGACAUAAUAAGAUGCAGCUACAAACUAUGGAAGUAUUUGCGUGGUUUCUGAACUAUCCUCUUCCAGCACCGGCAGCACGCAAUCACCACAAAU